UACAGAGGAGCCAAGCGUUGUCCGGAUUGACUGGGCGUAAAGCGCACGCAGGCGGCAUCGCGCGUGGGGUGUGAAAUCUGGCCGCUUAACGGCCAGGCGCCAUCCCAUACGGCACGACGUGGAGGGCUGCAGAGGUCGAUGGAAUUGCCGGUGUAGUGGUGAAAUGCGUAGAGAUCGGCAGGAACACCCAGGGGGAAACCAGUCGACUGGGCAGC
rnacentral:rRNA from 1 species